CAGGCACAGGCACAGGAGAUGCAGCCAGCACCACAGCACCUCUUCCAGAUUCCCAGAAGGGCAUCGGAAGGGGUUUCUGUCAUGGAACAGGCUACUCGCUAGAGUUAAUGGCAGGCAUGCUUCUUUUGAAGCUUGUCUUCAUGUUGUGCUGCUUUAGAAUCUGGUAUUCCUGGAAGAGAAAAUGUCGCAGCUCUGGACAGGAGAUGAAAGCAGUGGCUUCCCCUCACACCCAGACUGCUUGUGGAGCACCUCCAGCAGUAAUAAGGGCCUGGUCAGCCCUUUCUGGAGUUCUGAGAAGAGGACAGCAGUAGAUCUGUCUACGAGGAAAUCUCCAAAGACCCUGUAGAUCCCACUGCCACUUCCUCUCCCCAUGGGUAUCCCCAAGCUGCCUUCACCCGUUUUUGAUCUCCCUCUGUCCCGUCCCAGCCCAUUCCCCAGUUCUUCUAAAGACCCCGGUACCAGCCCAGCACCCUCCA